AAGUCGUAACAAGGUUCCCGUAGGUGAACCUGCGGAAGGAUCAUUACCGAGAUUUUUUCCUGCUUGCAGGAAAUCUCCCACCCUUUUGUGUAUCGAAAUUCCCAAUACUUUGGUGAAGCGCUUGUUGAGCAUACGUGCUGAGCAACCAGUGACUCUUUAUUUUUAUUUAUUUAAUAAUAAAAAAUAGAGUGGCUGUGUCUUUGCCAAAGGAACUUGUAACUCUACAUUUUUUAUAUAUUUCUGUCUGAGUUUAUAAAUUUUUAAAAUAAACAAAACUUUCAACAACGGAUCUCUUGGUUCUGGCAUCGAUGAAGAACGCAGCGAAAUGCGAUAAGUAAUGUGAAUUGCAGAAUUCAGCGAAUCAUCGAAUUUUUGAACGCACAUUGCACCUCAGAGUAUUCUUUGAGGUAUACCUGUUCGAGCGUCGUUUAGACCAUAAGGCUUUGCCUUGCGCUGAUGGCUUGGGAGCGACCUGCUUCUAACUGUCUAAACAUGUUGGCGUCGUAGUUUGACCAAGACACAGCAAAAAUGUGAAACUGGGCGAGCAAUUUCGACAUGCCUUGAAUCAACUGUUUCUCUCCUUUUUGUGAGGAAACGUAGGUUCGACCUCGGAUCAGGUAAGACUACCCGCUGAACUUAAGCAUAUCAAUAAGCGGAGGAAAAGAAACCAACAGGGAUUGCCUCAGUAACGGCGAGUGAAGCGGCAAAAGCUCAAAUUUGAAAUCUGGUCCUAGACCCGAGUUGUAAUUUGUAGAGGAAUGUUCGGCGACGUCUAGGUCUGAGUCUUCUGGAAGGAAGCGCCUUUGAGGGUGAGAGCCCCGUAGGACUGAUGACUGAACCAUGUGUACAUCCUUCGACGAGUCGAGUUGUUUGGGAAUGCAGCUCAAAACGGGUGGUAAAUUCCAUCUAAAGCUAAAUAUUGGCCAGAGACCGAUAGCGCACAAGUAGAGUGAUCGAAAGAUGAAAAGCACUUUGGAAAGAGAGUGAAACAGUACGUGAAAUUGUUGAAAGGGAAGCGCUUGCGACCAGACUUGGGUUUAACGUUCAGCGGUUCGCGUGGACCGUGUACUUCGUUAUUUACUAGCCAGCAUCAGUUUCUGGGGUUGGAUAAGAGCAUGAGGAACGUAGCUUAGCUUCGGUUGAGUGUUAUAGCCUUUUGCACAAUACAGCCACUGGAGACUGAGGAACGCCUUUUUUGUAGGAUGCUGGCGUAAUGGUUGCAAGCGGCC
rnacentral:rRNA from 1 species